GCUUCUGAAAGAUAUUAGUAAUCUAUUGGUCUUAGGAACCAAAAACUCUUGGUGCAACUCCAAGCAAAAGCU
rnacentral:tRNA from 2 species